rnacentral:tRNA from 1 species
GUGGCAGUAGCUCAGUGGUAGAGCUCCCGCUUUGUACGCGGCAAGACCGGGGUCGAUUUCCGGCUGCUUUC